rnacentral:rRNA from 1 species
CAGUCGUACGCUUCUUUUUCACCGGAGCUUGCUCCACCGGAAAAAGAAGAGUGGCGAACGGGUGAGUAACACGUGGGUAACCUGCCCAUCAGAAGGGGAUAACACUUGGAAACAGGUGCUAAUACCGUAUAACAAUCGAAACCGCAUGGUUUUGAUUUGAAAGGCGCUUUCGGGUGUCGCUGAUGGAUGGACCCGCGGUGCAUUAGCUAGUUGGUGAGGUAACGGCUCACCAAGGCCACGAUGCAUAGCCGACCUGAGAGGGUGAUCGGCCACAUUGGGACUGAGACACGGCCCAAACUCCUACGGGAGGCAGCAGUAGGGAAUCUUCGGCAAUGGACGAAAGUCUGACCGAGCAACGCCGCGUGAGUGAAGAAGGUUUUCGGAUCGUAAAACUCUGUUGUUAGAGAAGAACAAGGAUGAGAGUAACUGUUCAUCCCUUGACGGUAUCUAACCAGAAAGCCACGGCUAACUACGUGCCAGCAGCCGCGGUAAUACGUAGGUGGCAAGCGUUGUCCGGAUUUAUUGGGCGUAAAGCGAGCGCAGGCGGUUUCUUAAGUCUGAUGUGAAAGCCCCCGGCUCAACCGGGGAGGGUCAUUGGAAACUGGGAGACUUGAGUGCAGAAGAGGAGAGUGGAAUUCCAUGUGUAGCGGUGAAAUGCGUAGAUAUAUGGAGGAACACCAGUGGCGAAGGCGGCUCUCUGGUCUGUAACUGACGCUGAGGCUCGAAAGCGUGGGGAGCAAACAGGAUUAGAUACCCUGGUAGUCCACGCCGUAAACGAUGAGUGCUAAGUGUUGGAGGGUUUCCGCCCUUCAGUGCUGCAGCUAACGCAUUAAGCACUCCGCCUGGGGAGUACGACCGCAAGGUUGAAACUCAAAGGAAUUGACGGGGGCCCGCACAAGCGGUGGAGCAUGUGGUUUAAUUCGAAGCAACGCGAAGAACCUUACCAGGUCUUGACAUCCUUUGACCACUCUAGAGAUAGAGCUUCCCCUUCGGGGGCAAAGUGACAGGUGGUGCAUGGUUGUCGUCAGCUCGUGUCGUGAGAUGUUGGGUUAAGUCCCGCAACGAGCGCAACCCUUAUUGUUAGUUGCCAUCAUUUAGUUGGGCACUCUAGCAAGACUGCCGGUGACAAACCGGAGGAAGGUGGGGAUGACGUCAAAUCAUCAUGCCCCUUAUGACCUGGGCUACACACGUGCUACAAUGGGAAGUACAACGAGUCGCGAAGUCGCGAGGCUAAGCUAAUCUCUUAAAGCUUCUCUCAGUUCGGAUUGUAGGCUGCAACUCGCCUACAUGAAGCCGGAAUCGCUAGUAAUCGCGGAUCAGCACGCCGCGGUGAAUACGUUCCCGGGCCUUGUACACACCGCCCGUCACACCACGAGAGUUUGUAACACCCGAAGUCGGUG